rnacentral:lncRNA from 1 species
UGGUGGACAGCAAAGGCUUUGAUGAAUACAUGAAGGAGCUAGGAGUGGGAAUAGCUUUGCGAAAAAUGGGCGCAAUGGCCAAGCCAGAUUGUAUCCCUGGGAGAGAAGUUUGAAGAAACCACAGCUGAUGGCAGAAAAACUCAGACUGUCUGCAACUUUACAGAUGGUGCAUUGGUUCAGCAUCAGGAGUGGGAUGGGAAGGAAAGCACAAUAACAAGAAAAUUGAAAGAUGGGAAAUUAGUGGUGGAGUGUGUCAUGAACCAUGACAUAGUAAUCCAACAUUAAUUGUCCUUGUUCAAAAACGUUCCCUUGCUACCCAGUACAGAACAAAAUGAAACAAGUAAAAAAAACUGAAAAAAUUAAACUUGUGGCCAGAUGCAGUGGCUCAUGCCUGUAAUCCCAGCACUUUGGGAGGCCGAGGCAGACGAAUCACUUGAUGUCGGGAGUUCGAGACCAGCCUGACCAACAUGGAGAAACC